rnacentral:rRNA from 1 species
UACGGGGGGGGCAAGCGUUGUUCGGAAUUACUGGGCGUAAAGGGCUCGUAGGCGGCCAACUAAGUCAGACGUGAAAUCCCUAGGCUCAACCUAGGAACUGCGUCUGAUACUGGAUGGCUUGAAUCCGGGAGAGGGAUGCGGAAUUCCAGGUGUAGCGGUGAAAUGCGUAGAUAUCUGGAGGAACACCGGUGGCGAAGGCGGCAUCCUGGACCGACACUGACACUGAGGAGCGAAAGCCAGGGGAGCAAACGGG